rnacentral:sRNA from 1 species
GGCGCUGGUGGUGGCACGCCUGGCACUGCCGGGCCGGGGUUCGAGUCCCCGCGGCCCC